rnacentral:rRNA from 1 species
CCCUUAGAUGUUCUGAACCGCACGCGUGUUACACUGAUGCAUUCAACGAGCUUUACCUUGGCCGAGAGGCCUGGGAAAUCUUUUUAGCAUGCAUCGUGAUAGGGAUUGAUUAUUGCAAUUAUUAAUCAUGAGCGAGGAAUUCCUAGUAAACGCAUUUCAUCAAAAUGCAUUGAUUACGUCCCUGCCCUUUGUACACACCGCCCGUCGCACCUACCGAUUGAGUGGUCCGGUGAAGUCUCGAGAUUGUGGCAAUCUCCUUUAUUGGAGUUUGACUGCGAGAACUUGCCUAAACCUUAUCACUUAGAGGAAGGUGAAGGCGUAACA